rnacentral:tRNA from 1 species
GCCUGGCUGGCUCAGUUGGUACAGCAUGUGACUCUUGAUCUUGGGGUUGUGAGUUCAAGCCUCACAUUGGGUG